rnacentral:misc_RNA from 1 species
AGAAAUACAAAUAACCUGUGCGAGGAAAUUCGCAGAAUGGUCACCGGCCGCUAAUCCGCAGAUGGUUCAAGCGCAUAAUAAAAGCGAUCGACGCGAUUCUCGAUUCGCUCGGCGCGGCAGCCGGCGGAGUGGGCGGCGUCCUCAAAGAGUUCAAGGACACGAUGGAAGUCUUGUCGGAUUCGGAAGACCGAUAGCUUGUUCUGUCGAAUUACAGUGAGUCCGUCCGCACCCUUGGCGAAGGAGGAUGUGCGGUCCUCAUUUCUGCA